UAAAUAAGAAAACUCAACAUUAAUUACACAAACUUAAUAACCAAAACUCAACAUUGCACACCCAUUAAUACAAGACUGCAAAUCCAAGUAACAAAAUAUGAACCACCAAAUCAGUGACAAGCAAAUUAUAAGAAGAAAGAUCGAAACAAUUCAUGAAGAAAAAGAAACAUAAACUGACCUUUAUGCUAAUCAAUUUGACUUCGAUCAAUGUUGAAAUUCAAAGACCAAAGAGACCUUGAAACGGAGCGUCUAAACUAAACCUCGCCGGCGACCUCAAACCGACCUCGGAGAUGCUGUUUUUUUGUGCGAAAAAGGGGCUGUAUUAGCGUGAUUUUUGGAGCUCCUGUUGCUGGUUCUUACACGGCUGAAACAGGCAAUUUACAGCUGGUUUAAAGAUGGUUUUGAGGGCUGAUUUGGGAGGCGAAUUGCUGCGUUUUUCGCAGCAAUUUGGGACUGAAAAUGAGGUGAUUUGCUGAGGGUUAUGGACUGAUUUUUAAAUAGAUUCGCCACUGAUUUUUCUAUUUUUUGCAUCAGGUUUGAGCUGAAUUUUUGGGGGCUAACUCUCAUGGGUUUUGGGGCUGAUUUCGAAAUUGUUUUGCUGCUACUUUUGUACUAGUUUUCACGGUGGAUCUAAGUUGUUUACAUGGGAUUUUUAAUGGAGUUUGGUUAAGAUUAUAUGGAACAAGAAUAAGAUUAGGGUGUGGUUUGUUUUUUGGGUGUAGGGAUGGGUUUGUUCCUCAAGAACGAGCAGGAGGAAUUUUAUUUUUUUUAGCUUAGGAAUUUCAAGGUCUGCCUCUGCCCUCCUCCCUUUUUUGUGUGUUAUGUGUGUGUUUUAUAGCUGAAAAUGGGGUAUGGGAUUUGUGAUAGGAGACAAGCAUGGGGGACAAGGAGUGGAAAAUAAUGGAGAGUGGAGUAGGGAGCAAAGUGUGGGGGGGGACAAGCAUGGGGGACAAGCAAGGAGGACAAAUGAAAGUAUAGUGGGGACACUCCUGGGAAGAUGGGAGCGGGAAAUAUUUAAGUACGAUAAAAAUUUAGGUGCUCACAGCAUGUCCCUCUUUGCUUGAAAACAUUAAAAGUUUUCAAGCAAAGAUAAAGUGAGCCGUGUGACUAAAUUUUGACCAUAUCGUUACUCAAAAGAGGAAGAAAAAUAAAAGAAAAGGGUGCAACCGAGUCCUGGUUUUAGACAGCCUACAUAUCCCCGGGUUAUAAGGGAAUCAGGACGCGUGUAGUUCAAGAAAAGUGAUGGAAUAAUGAGUUAGAGAGUCGAGUGAGGUUCCGUCGAGCCUCCGGUCUGUGGUCUUGCUAUUACAUCAAAAUUGAAAGAAACUAAACAAGCCUAUCAACUAUGAGUUAACAAGAUUCCUAUCUAUAAGUCUUUUGAAGCUU
rnacentral:lncRNA from 1 species